UAAUUUACUUACGCUGGCUUCUGACCACAAGCAGACCAAAGGCCCCGGGGAGCAGAAGAAGGGGAAGGUGGCGACUGCGUCAAAGGAGGAGCAGAACAGGCAGCAGAUCCUUGAAGAGAUGAAGAAGAGGACUCAGCUGCUGACCGACAACAGCUGGAUCCGCCAGCGCAGGGCCAGCUCCCUCAAAGAGCCCCUCUACACUGGUGGAACCCUCAGGAGUGAUUGUGCUGUGCCGAGCAUCUCGGAGGAGAGGGAUCAGAAGUUCAGAGCAGAGACCACAAGUCUUUCUGCGAGUGUUGCUACAUCCAGCUGAAUUUCCAGCAACUGACCAGGUCAUGUGACCAGAGAAGUCUGUCAGAUUGAGAAAAAAGGGGCCAUUUUGUCAAGGAAGUGACGCGACAAAAUGUUGGAUGAACUUUCACGUGAACCCCACCCACUAGCGCCCUGGCCCGUGUGUUGUAUGAUUUUACAUUUUGAAAUAUUCGUUAAUCUUUCACUCGGCCAAAAGUUCCUAAUUAAUUGUACUGUAUGAAAUAAAAUAGGGUAAUGAGUGUUUUUAAAUCUUCGGUUUUUGGUUGUAUCUGUCCACUAUCGUUUUGUUUUCCCCCAUCAGCAAGUAACUUUACUAAUGCUAUGGUGAGGGCCAUGUCAAUUACAUAACUUCAAGCACUUUCUAUCUUCACUUUCAUCUUGCUAAGUGCACUUUGCAGAUCAUUUGGUGAUAUGGGUCCAGCAGUCAUAAAAUAAUGAAAUGUUUAACCAGGUAAAUGUGACUGAAAUGUUUGGAAAUAAAAGAUAUAUCCCACAAAUAUAUCCGUUAUUUUAUCCACCACUAGAUGGCAGUAUUGACCCACUGGUUUAGUUUUAAGUGGGCGUCCUUCUAACCAAAACAAUGGAUCAUCGAACAGUUCAUAAUGACCGCUGAAAGAAAAUCUUGUAGUUAAAAUACACCUUAUGUUAAUUUCAUUAGAUCGUUUUAGAUAAAGAUUUUUAUAAAUAAAUUCGCUAUGUGCAGUAUUGG
ensembl:lncRNA